rnacentral:rRNA from 1 species
AGUGGAUGGGGAGCAACCUAGUUGUGCGUGUGUAAAGGUAGUGCCAAGAAAAGCGAUGAUCAUGUUGAAAAUCAAUUCCCGGUACCCGAAACCGACACAGGUGGGCAAGUAGAGAAUACUAAGGGGCGCGAGGUAACUCUCUCCAAGGAACUCGGCAAAAUGACCCCGUAACUUAGGGAGAAGGGGUGCCACCGAGAGGUGGUCGCAGUGAAGAGGCCCAGGCGACUGUUUAGCAAAAACAUAGGUCUCUGCAAACUCGAAAGAGGAGGUAUAGGGGCUGACGCCUGCCCAGUGCCGGAAAGUUAAAGAAGUUGGUCAGUUUUAGGAUGAAGCUAGCGACUGAAGCCCCGGUGAACGGCGGCCGUAACUAUAACGGUCCUAAGGUAGCGAAAUUCCUUGUCGGGUAAGUUCCGACCCGCACGAAAGGCGUAACGAUCUGGGCGCUGUCUCGGAGAGAGGCUCGGCGAAAUAGGAUUGUCUGUGAAGAUACGGACUACCUGCAUUUGGACAGAAAGACCCUAUGAAGCUUUACUAUAGCUUGGAAUUGUGUUCGGGCUUCCUGUGCGCAGGAUAGGUGGGAGGCGUAGAAGGUAUUCUUGUGGGGAUACUGGAGCCAACGGUGAGAUACCACUCUCAGGAGGCUAGAAUUCUAACUUAAUUAAGGACAGUUUCAGGUGGGUAGUUUGACUGGGGCGGUCGCCUCCAAAAAGGUAACGGAGGCGUACAAAGGUUCCCUCAGACUGGUUGGAAAUCAGUCGAAGAGUGCAAAGGCAGAAGGGAGCUUGACUGCGAGAAGUACAGUUCGAGCAGGGUGGAAACACGGUCUUAGUGAUCCGACGGUGCUGUGUGGAAGGGCCGUCGCUCAACGGAUAAAAGUUACUCUAGGAUAACAGGCUGAUCUCCCCCAAGAGUUCACAUCGACGGGGAGGUUUGGCACCUCGAUGUCGGCUCAUCGCAACCUGGGGCGGAAGUACGUCCCAAGGGUUGGGCUGUUCGCCCAUUAAAGCGGUACGUGAGCUGGGUUCAGAACGUCGUGAGACAGUUCGGUCCAUAUCCGAUGUAGGCGUGAGAAUAUUGAGAGGAGCCUUCCUUAGUACGAGAGGACCGGGAAGGACGCACCGCUGGUGUACCUGUUAUGAUGCCAAUUGUAAACGCAGGGUAGCCAAGUGCGGAGAGGAUAACCGCUGAAAGCAUCUAAGUGGGAAGCCCACCUCAAGAUGAGUAUUCUGGUGUAAGGUCACGGGAAGACGACCCGUAAAUAGGCACGAGGUGGAAGUGCAGAGAUGUAUGAAGCCGAAGUGUACUAAUAGACCGUCGGCUUGACCA